GUGAAGCUGGAAUCGCUAGUAAUCGCAGAUCAGAAUGCUGCGGUGAAUACGUUCCCGGGUCUUGUACACACCGCCCGUCACACCACGGAAGUUGGGGGCGCCCGAAGCCACUUAGCUAACCCUUUUGGGAAGCGAGUGUCGAAGGUGAAAUCAAUAACUGGGGUGAAGUCGUAACAAGGUAUC
rnacentral:rRNA from 1 species